rnacentral:rRNA from 1 species
UUCUUUCACCGGAGCUUGCUCCACCGAAAGAAAAGGAGUGGCGAACGGGUGAGUAACACGUGGGUAACCUGCCCAUCAGAAGGGGAUAACACUUGGAAACAGGUGCUAAUACCGUAUAACAAUCGAAACCGCAUGGUUUCGGUUUGAAAGGCGCUUUUGCGUCACUGAUGGAUGGACCCGCGGUGCAUUAGCUAGUUGGUGAGGUAACGGCUCACCAAGGCAACGAUGCAUAGCCGACCUGAGAGGGUGAUCGGCCACAUUGGGACUGAGACACGGCCCAAACUCCUACGGGAGGCAGCAGUAGGGAAUCUUCGGCAAUGGACGGAAGUCUGACCGAGCAACGCCGCGUGAGUGAAGAAGGUUUUCGGAUCGUAAAACUCUGUUGUUAGAGAAGAACAAGGAUGAGAGUAGAAUGUUCAUCCCUUGACGGUAUCUAACCAGAAAGCCACGGCUAACUACGUGCCAGCAGCCGCGGUAAUACGUAGGUGGCAAGCGUUGUCCGGAUUUAUUGGGCGUAGAGCGAGCGCGGGCGGUUUCUUAAGUCUGAUGUGAAAGCCCCCGGCUCAACCGGGGAGGGUCAUUGGAAACUGGGAAACUUGAGUGCAGAAGAGGAGAGUGGAAUUCCAUGUGUAGCGGUGAAAUGCGUAGAUAUAUGGAGGAACACCAGUGGCGAAGGCGGCUCUCUGGUCUGUAACUGACGCUGAGGCUCGAAAACGUGGGGAGCAAACAGG